ensembl:misc_RNA 7SK 7SK RNA
GGAUGUUAGGAUGAUCUGGCUGCGACAUCUGUCACUCCAUUUAUCUCCAGGGUUGAUUUGGCUGAUCUGGGUAGCUUGGCGGGUGUCCUCUUCCACCCUCACUGCUCCAGGUGCAUCCCUCCAGAAGCUGCACACUCAGUGGAAGAGGACAACCUUCCCCAAUAGAGGAGGAGAGAUUUUUGGUCAAGAGUAUACGAGUAGCUGAGCUCCUGUGCUAGAACCUCCAAACAAGCUCUCAAGAUACAGAACAGUUCUAUUAUCCAGAAAAAUGUCUCU